rnacentral:lncRNA from 1 species
CCAGCCCUGUCGUUUUAAACCACCUGAUGCCUACUUAGUCAAGGUAGCCAUCGGGCUCCAAUGCACAAGGGAGCAGGAGCACCCAAGAAUCUGGCAGCUUGUAUUGUCAAACAGUAGAUGAGGGAAGAAGAGAACUAUAAGAAAAUGAACAACAACAUUAUGGGAAGCUGACAAAUGGCAAAUAAAGUUUUAUUUUUAAACCUCAGAAAUACAAAAUGAAAAAAAGGAAGAAACAAAAUACCACAGCCAAUGUGUCACUCUUCUCUACCGUUGUCACGGGGUCUUCCUGAACAAGCGUGAAGGCCAGUUAAGUAAGGACUGGGUCUCCCCUGGGCAGCUUAUCAUCCUUGGUCAAUUGCUCAGGACUGUAGAUUCUUUCUUUCAGUUCUUACAUCUCUUAAGAGGUGUCUGUUAUGCAGGUAAGGAGGGCCUGGCCUUGGGAAGGACCUGGCUAGGGAAUCUGUGCCCAUCUAGUCUGGUGGUAGCGAUCUGGUUGGUGGCCUUGUGCUU